CUCCUGACCUGAGGUAAUCCAAUCUCCUUGGCCUCCCAAAGUGCUGAGAUUACAGGCGUGAGCCGCCGUGCCCGGUGGAGUCUACAUUUCUAACAGGCUCCAGCGGAUGUGGAUACAGCCGGCCCCCAGCCCACAUGCUGGAGAGUAAAACCUUAGACAUGUGCAAGACCCUUUAUUUCAGAGUUAAUUUUCGGAAAAACAAGCCUGGUUUCCUUGGAGGAGUCCUUGCUGGGAACGAGUCCGUCCUCAGGUGAUGCUGCCUUGCCAGGCCACAUCCCUGGUAUUGCAGCCACUCUGCCAGAUCGGUGGCAGUUGGAGCAGCACCUUCUGCCUGCCCCACCGUUCCUGCCAGGCUCAGCUGAAGUUUUGCCCUACAGUUGGGGGAAGUUUUCCAGGGGCAGCUGAAUUCCUCACAAGGCUUCGAGUUGAUCACAUCCAUUUUGUGUCUGAUGACCCUGGCCACGCGGGAGGAGCAGGCAGGUGUUUUCUGUCUGGCUAAUCCGUGGAACAGGCCGCUUGGAGACAGGCGUGUGUGAAAUUGCUUUUCACACCGUUAGGGAGCUGGGAUGAUCUCUCAACAGCGUCACUGCACGUGAACACUGGCUGGAAUAUUUUCAUUUUAGAAAGGAUCGGAGCAAAGUUCUCAUUUUUCAUCAGAGAUACACUGGAGUAGGCGGAAGUCUUUCUGUUCCCCUUAACAAGGUGAGUGAAGAAUGCAGGAACAGUGCAAGAAACAGAUUAGACUUAAGAAGUAAAGCAACUUCCCUGACCGACUCAGAUUUAUGGCUUUAAUUAGGAAGGCCAACCAGGGUCAUAGGAAAAGCAGAGGAAUGACAGACCUGGGUUCAAAUCUCAUUUCUACAACUUGUUAAUUGUGAUAUUUGGGGCAAGAACCUCGAACAGACUUCGUCCAGUGGGAACAGUCAUACCAUCAAAACCAGUUGGAGUUCAGUGUCGCAGAACUUGUAACAAAGCCUGUUUACUCUCUACAAAUGAGUCAUUAUUCCUCACUGACAUGGUUUGGAUCUGUGUCCUUGCCCAAAUCUCAAGUGGAAUUGUAAUCCCCAGUGUUAAAGUUGGGGCCUGGUGAGAGGCAAGUGGAUCAUGGGGGUGGAUUUUCCUCUUGGUGCCGUUCUGGUGGUACUGAGUUCUCAUGAGAUCUGGUUGUUUAAAAGUGUGUGGCCCCUCCCUGCUGUCUCUUGUUCCUGCUCCUCCAUGUAAGACACCUGCUCCUGCUUUGCCUUCCACCACGAUUGGAAGUUCCCUGAGGCCACCCCAGAAAGAGAAGCCUCUAUGCUUCCUGUACAGCCUGCAGAACGAUGAGCCAAUUAAACUUCUUUAUAAAGUA